GGAAGGUUGGCCGAGCGGUUUAAGGCGCAAGUCUUGAAAACUUGUGACCCUGCAAGGGGCCGGGGGUUCGAAUCCCUCACCUUCCGCCA
rnacentral:tRNA from 1 species